UACAGAGGGUGCAAGCGUUGUUCGGAAUUAUUGGGCGUAAAGGGUGCGUAGGCGGCGCGGUAUGUCUCUUGUGAAAUCUCCAGGCUCAACUUGGAGUCUGCAAGGGAAACUGCCGUGCUUGAGUACUGGAGAGGUGAGUGGAAUUCCUGGUGUAGCGGUGAAAUGCGUAGAUAUCAGGAGGAACACCUGCGGUGUAGACGGCUUACUGGACCAUAACUGACGCUGAGGCACGAAAGCGUGGGUAGCAAACAGG
rnacentral:rRNA from 1 species